UGCAGUCCCCCACAGCUGCUGCUGCACCUGCCUAUUAGACAGACAGAUAAUAGGCAGCCUACUUACAGGAUUAAUUGCUAGUCUUGUUUUGAUUAGAAUGAUUCAGUUUCAUGACACAUUAAAUGGAGUAGAAAGGAAGGGCCAUAGGACAGUGCGGAUGGGAUGCCUUUCCAGGGGUUCAUGACACAAACAACGACACAGUGUUCCAGGCUACCAAGGUUGCGGAUAGAGAUGAGAUGAAUGGGAAGAAGAUCAAACAGCAAAAGGGCUUGAUGGAGCAACUUGAGAAAUUGCAAGUAACUUCUGCUGUGAGAGAAUUGGCCAUCUGCAAGGACAUUGCCCAGGGGAUGCCUGGAUGUUUUUGAUGUUUUACCAUCCUUGUGGGAAGCUUCUCUCAUGUCCCUGCAUGGAGCUGUAGCUGACAGAGGGAGCUCAUCCACACUCUCCUCGGGUUGGAUUCAAACCAGCAACCUUCAGGUCAGCAACCCAGCCUUUAAGUCAGCAGUCCUGCCGGCACAGGGGUUUAACCCAUUGUAGCAACGGGGGCUUCAGUGUGGUAAUGUCUGGCACUGUACUUUUCCAUCCAUCAACCCAACCAGACUGAUAUUCAUAUGGAGUUUGGGGAAUUGACUUCAAGCUUUCUGUCAAUGGCAACAAAAUCAACUCUCCUGUGAGUCAAGUGUCAUGGACCCAUGGGAGGAAACACACCAGGACAUUUAUCUCUCAAGAGUGUUUUGAUUAUGUAUUCCUAACACUUAAUGUGUGAUGAGAAAGAGGGGCAGAAAUGCAACUGUGAAAAGGCCAGGAAUAGAAGAGUUUGAAAAGGUUAUUUGUGGGGACUUUCUAAGGGUGGUAGUUCAAAAAAGUAACAAUUCCAAACUGUGAUCAGCUAUUCCAUAAUACAGUAGAGUCUCACCUAUCCAACAUAAACGGGAUGGCAGAAUGUUGGAUAAGCGAAUAUGUUGGAUAAUAAGGAGAGAUUAAGGAAAAGCCUAUUAAACAUCAAAUUAGGUUAUGAUUUUACAAAUUAAGCACCAAAACAUCACGUUAUACAACAAAUUUGACAGAAAAGGUAGUUCAAUACGCAGUAAUGCUAUGUAGUAAUUACUGUAUUUACGAAUUUAGCACCAAAAUAUCACGAUGCAUUGAAAACAUUGACUACAAAAAUGCGUUGGAUAAUCCAGAACGUUGAAUAAGUGAGUGUUGGAUAAAUGAGACUCUACUGUAUUUAUGACUGACUCUUUGGAUUUCAUUUUUAAAAAUGUAUUAUUAGAUUGAUUUGGGCAUCUUCCCUCCCUCAUAUGAACUGGUCAACCUUGAUCUAUGUCUUCAAAGUGAUUUAGAAUAGAGUUCAGCAUUUCACACACAUAUUUGGUGCAUUGCUCCUUAAAAAGCAAAGUAAAUAUGUAUGGAGAAAGAGAGAGAUUGAGGAAAGAAAGGAGAAAAAAUAUCACAUGCAAUCUGGGGAAAAUCUAACUGACUAGGACCCAAUAUUCGACAAAAAAAAGGCUUGUUUAGAAAGUGAUAGAUAUAAACAACUCUAAAUAAGUAAUUAAGACAGAACCUUGUUGCGUUGUACAUCCAUGAUGCACUUUGAAAAAGCUGUUUUCUAUUUAACCAGGUCCACAAAUUGCAGAUGGUUACCUAAGGUGGUGUGGAGAGAAGAAGAAGGCGGCGGGGGGGGGGGGGGGGGGUUGAUCUGAGAAUGUGAAUAAGGCUGCUGGCAGAUGGCUUAGAGAUAUCAUUCCAAAUAUCUUAUCCUGACAAAUAACAACAGUAUGUAUUAUUAGCACCAUGCAGAUGGUGUGCGGAAUGAUUCCUUUCCAUCUCAGGGCUCUGCUUGCCUCUAUGAUGGAAGAAACUAUUUUUAAGAGAUGCAUUUGAAAAUGAAAUCAGGCAAGGGUCUUGUUAUUCAGGGAUAGGUAAAGUGUGGCCUAUAUGAGGUCUUUCUGCCCCUAAGUAGUCUGUGACCCCCAAAUUGCCUCUGCACUCCUCAGAAGCCCCUUUAAAAGCCCCUGUUUUUAAAAAACAGGUCCAUUCAGGUGAUUUUUGUUGCAACCAAACUAACAAAAAUGUGCUCAAACUG